GAUGAACGCUGGCGGCGUGCCUAAUACAUGCAAGUCGAGCGAACAGACGAGGAGCUUGCUCCUCUGACGUUAGCGGCGGACGGGUGAGUAACACGUGGAUAACCUACCUAUAAGACUGGGAUAACUUCGGGAAACCGGAGCUAAUACCGGAUAAUAUAUUGAAUCGCAUGGUUCAAUAGUGAAAGACGGUUUUGCUGUCACUUAUAGAUGGAUCCGCGCCGCAUUAGCUAGUUGGUAAGGUAACGGCUUACCAAGGCAACGAUGCGUAGCCGACCUGAGAGGGUGAUCGGCCACACUGGAACUGAGACACGGUCCAGACUCCUACGGGAGGCAGCAGUAGGGAAUCUUCCGCAAAGGGCGAAAGCCUGACGGAGCAACGCCGCGUGAGUGAUGAAGGUCUUCGGAUCGUAAAACUCUGUUAUUAGGGAAGAACAAAUGUGUAAGUAACUAUGCACGUCUUGACGGUACCUAAUCAGAAAGCCACGGCUAACUACGUG
rnacentral:rRNA from 1 species